AAGACUUGCUAGUAAUGACAAGCAGUAACAAAAUGUCAUGUUUAUUUUACAGGAAAUGACAUCAGAAGACCACCAUUUCCUCUUCAGUUCUUUGUAUGGUGUAGAAAAGGUAAUUAUCAUCCUUCUGAUAGUUCACUAAGGAAACAUUAUACAUUCACAAAUAUAAUACAGUUGUCAUACCUGUGGGUAUUUUACGGCCUGGACCAUGUGACCACUAAGCCACUCCUCGUUAGUAUAGUGGUAAGUAUCCCCGCCUGUCACGCUGAUCAGUGCUAAACCACUACGGAUGUAAUAUACUUUCGGCCGCUGGCGCUCUCGUGGCGCUCUUCCGUGUUUGUGCACAAGCGCGGAGUUUGAAAUCGCCAUUUUCAUUCCGCCUCGGAGAGUGAAAUACAAAGAUCUGCCUCGCUCGUUUUAAUCAGCACAUCUAUCAAAGAUCAAGAUGCAGAAGAAAGUGCUGUUCUUCCCAGGGAGAAUCUGUGUUGUGUUCCGCAAGGGACCACUCGGGUUUCUCCUCCAGGAGCCAUCUAAAGAAGCCAGACGUAUUAAGGAUGACCCCACUCUGCAGGACAAGUCUGCGCCCAUGAGAGAGGACCUUGUGCGGCAGAAUGCUCGGUCUUUGGUCAGUCAGAGAGGAGGGGAUGUCUCUGACAGGAAGGAGGUCCUGGGAGAAUACAUACUGCAAUUUGGAAAGUAUAAAGGGAAGUCCUUUAGAUGGCUUUUAGAGAAUGAUGUAGGGUACACUAUGUAUCUCAUCAAGAACCUUCAGAAGGAGGAGGCAUCCGGCAUCCCUGUGGCUGAGGGGCAUGGCAAGGACAGUCUACUGUCAUUUGUUAAUUAUGCCCUAAGUUUUGAAGAGAUCCAGUCUCUUCUCACCUAUGAGGCCAGUGGAGUGGGUGUUGUGGCAGCCUCAUCAGAAGAUGACCAGCUGGUUGGCUUUGGUUCCCGGGCCAAGAGCACCUGGAAGGAGAUUUGGGAUAGCAGAGCUGAUGGCUACGCAGACUUCAUCAUGAAGAAGAGCUGUGUCCAAGGGACACGCAUGUACAAGCUCCAGCAAUACCUGCAGAAGAAGCAGCAAUCUGCCACUGCUUCCAUACCUGCUAAACAUACCCCAAGGGCCCCAGCAAAACCUAUUGUGAUGGAUGAUGAUGAAGAGCUGGAGAGAGCGAUGUUGAGCAUCUCACCCUCUAAGCUACAAGUGCAGAGCUUUGCUGUGCCAGCAGCAGUAGCAGCAGCUGCCAUACCCAGAGUGUCACCAGGAGCAAAGACAGGUUUUUAAAUAAGAGGUUUCAGGACUGGAGUAAGAUGAAUUGCCCUCCAAAACUGAAACUCGACUUAAACUGUUAUGUUGUUUGCGUUCUGGCCAUGCUCCGGCCAUGUUCCUCCAACAAUAUGGUUGUAUGCUGGCAUUAUACUAACUGUCCUAAGGACUAUGAAUUCCAACCACGAUGAUGGUAAGUGUGCAUUUUUCUUCUGCAUUCAUGUUGUUUUAAGGUACUAACACUUGAAUGCAUGCUUGUUCAUUGUCAUAUUGCUCCUCCUGCUUAGACUAGUGAGUAGUGUUUAGAAUGGUAUAUCUGCAGGAAUUCAAUUACAUUUUAAAUAAUUUAUUAACAAUUAAGAUGGUGUCAAGGCACAUUACAGAGUGAAUCCCUCUUAACAUUAGAUUAAUUCAUAUACAUAACAUAUAUUGAGGGAUAGGUAGAGAAAAAUAAUAUGGCAAUGUCAAUAAUGGCAUACAUUUAUAUUACAGGUACAUAGGUUUGUUACACAGUAUAUAAUUGUACCAUAAACAUUUGUGAAAUUAUGAUAAGCAGGAGAAAGAGACAUAUGGCUGUUUGAAUUCCUACUGUACUACUACUAUACUACUAACAUAUAUUGCGAAUUUUGAAGUGACUGAUGAUUUUGUCUCUUAUAGUUCCAUCAUUGUCCAACCCAACUCCUUAUACAAGUGCUGAAUUGCAGGCAUCACCAGUUGAUGCUCCAACCUCUCCAAGCAUAAAGAGGAAGACACCUGUGCCCCUUCCAGCAGAACUGACGUUCCUAGUAAAGGAGAAAACGGG